rnacentral:rRNA from 1 species
CAUUAUUGUAUAACUUGAUGCGCUAGGGUUGUCGCUGACCUUUGAAAAAGGUCGUGCACACCUUAGUGUACUCAUAAAUCCAUCUCACCCAUUGUGCAUUACCGCGUGAGCCCUUAUUUUUGGUUUGUUCCAAGGGGGUUCACGUUUUUACAUAUACACACCCCUAUAGAAUGUCUGUAUAGAAUGUCUACUUUUUGCAAUCAUAUGCAAUUAAUACAACUUUCAACAACGGAUCUCUUGGCUCUCGCAUCGAUGAAGAACGCAGCGAAAUGCGAUACGUAAUGUGAAUUGCAGAAUUCAGUGAAUCAUCGAAUCUUUGAACGCAUCUUGCGCCCCUUGGCAUUCCGAGGAGCACACCCGUUUGAGUGUCGUGACAUUCUCAAAACCUUCUUGGUUUUAUUAACUGCGAAGGCUUUGGAUUUUGGGGGUCUUAUUGCUGGCAUCCUUUGGAGCCGGCUCCUCCUAAAUAGAUUAGUAGGGUCUGCUUUGUCAAUCCUUGAUGUGAUAAGAUAUUUUCUACAUCUCGUAGUUUGGCACAGUCACUUUGGGUCCUGCUUCUAACUGUCUUGUAGAAGACAUUGUUAUAAACCCUUGACCUCAAAUCGGGUGAGACUACCCGCUGAACUUAAGCAUAUCAAUAAGCGGAGGAAAAGAAACUAACAAGGAUUCCCCUAGUAACUGCGAGUGAAGCGGGAAAAGCUCAAAUUUAAAAUCUGAUGGCCUUUGGUUAUCCGAGUUGUAAUUUAGAGAAGCG